rnacentral:rRNA from 1 species
CAGUCGUACCGACGAGAAAUCAACUCAUCGAAUGGGUAAUUGCGGGCGUAUGAGAGUCUCAUUGUUUGCGAAUGCACGUUCUUUGGGUGUACUUUUUCGUAUGGUAGGUUAACGUCGGUUUCGAUUACUAUAAAAUGAUCGGAGGAAUGUAGCUUCGAUUUCGGUUGAAGUGUUAUAGCCUUUGGUAGAUGUAGUGAUUGAGACCGAGGAUUGCAACGAAUACCCUUUUGGGCUAUCCGUCUGACCUCUGAAAGUUGCUUAGGUGCCGAAAGCUUGCUUACGGUUAUUUAAGUUUGCGGUCAAAAGGUUAGAACGUGAUUACA